rnacentral:rRNA from 1 species
AUGGCACACUUGAUGCAAGAAAUAUUUGGAUACACAGAUGAGUUGUGUAGAGCUUUGCAAAAGCAAGACGAAGAUAUUGUUCAUGUUAUUGAGCUUGUUGCUGACACAAAGUAUUACUUGGAGGCUUUGAGGACCGAUGCUGGAUGGGAUGAUUUUCUCACAAAGGUCACAUCUUUUUGUACAAAGCAUAAGAUUAAAGUAGUUGAUAUGGAGGGUCCUUACUUUUCCGUUGGCCGGCCUAGAAGGGGUUUAUUUAAUGGUCCGACCAAUUACCACCGCUUCAAGGUUGAUAUGUUUGUGGGUGUCAUUGAUAGGCAAAUCAAUGAGCUAAAUGGCAGAUUUGAUGAGGUAAACACGGAGCUACUUUCUUGCAUGGCAGCAUUUUGUCGACUUCAUCUAUUUGCUGCCUAUGACCAAGAGAAGUUAGUUUGGCUUGCUACAAAGUUUUAUGCUUCUGAUUUUACAAGGGAUGAACUGGCAAGACUUCCAUGGCAACUAAACAUGUAUGCUACUAAUGUGCGUAGAGAUGAAAGGUUCAAAACCCUGAAAAAUCUGUGUCAACUUUUAGUUAUGCUUGUUGAGACAAACAAGCAUGAACAAUAUCAUAUUGUUUACGAGCUUCUUAAGUUGGUAUUGAUUCUGCCAGUAGCUACUGCUAGUGUUGAAAGGGUAUUCUCUUCAAUGAGCUAUGUGAAGAAUAAGCUAAGGAACAAAAUAGGUGAUGAUUAUUUGAACAAUUGUUUGGUUACAUUCGGUGAGAGAAUUUUUCAAUCAAGUGAAGGAUGA